rnacentral:rRNA from 1 species
GACAGAGGUGCCGAGCGUUAGGCGGAAUCACUGGGCUUAAAGCGUGUGUAGGCGGAUCUGUAAGUACCUUGUGAAAUCCCACGGCUCAACCGUGGAACUGCUUGGUAUACUGCGGGUCUUGAGCCACCUAGGGGCAAGUGGAACAAACGGUGGAGCGGUGAAAUGCGUAGAUAUCAGGAGGAACACCAAUGGCGAAGGCAGCUCGCUGGGACGUGACUGACGCUGAGACGCGAAAGCGUGGGGAGCAAACAGG